UACAGAGGGUGCGAGCGUUAAUCGGAAUUACUGGGCGUAAAGGGCGUGUAGGCGGGAGAAUAAGUCAGAUGUGAAAGUCCUGGGCUCAACCUGGGGAUUGCAUAUGAAACUGUUUUUCUUGAGUGAAGUAGAGGGUGGCGGAAUUUCCGGUGUAGCGGUGAAAUGCGUAGAUAUCGGAAGGAACACCAGUGGCGAAGGCGGCCACCUGGACUUUAACUGACGCUGAGGCGCGAAAGCGUGGGGAGCAAACAGG
rnacentral:rRNA from 1 species